UUUCUUAAAAUUUCAAAAUUUCUUCGUACGUUUUUUAAUCUAAAAAGAAACGAAAGUGGAAACUUGUGAAUUGGAAAGAUUUGGUUUCGAAGAUAGAGAGGAGAGGAAGUUGUUUAUUGAAGAGGCGAAUAAGGAGGAGGAGACGAGGGAAACGGCACCGUUAUCGAUACUCAUUUCUUCAUGGAAAAAUGCUCGUCCGUUUUAAUACUCAACCGAUGCGCAAACCUUACUUAAGGGAAAUUAGUUUUUAAUUCUUAAUAUAGGGGACAUUUUAAAUAAGGAAUCGAGUAUCCAUAUCCGAGAAGCUUCGAUUUUAAGUAUCGUCAAUUAUAUUCGAUCUCGAGGUGAGAUGGGAUAAUGGAAGAUUUAAUCGGCCAUUCAUUAAUGUGAGAUCUGCGAUCACUCGUACGUGACUUUUGAUCUAAUUUUUGGAUUCUUGAAAAUGAUCACGAUCCGUGGAAUUUUCUUUUUUCUGCGUGGUGUAAUAAAUUAAUUGGAAUUGAGAUUCGAACAAAGAGAUAGAUCGAUUAUCGAUACAUCAGAUAUUCGUCACAAAGUUUUCUCAGACGUUAUUAUGAACCCGAGGAAAAGGAAUAAAAUCGAUGGUAAGCGUAAAAAAACAUGGCGGAUGCGGGGUUCGCCGGCAAUUAACCGCGCGUGACGUUCUCGAUAUCGAAACGAGUAAACGGGUUGCUAAUGUUCCGUAGGAUUUUUAUGAUCACGCAAAUAGUUUACGAGGCUCUCGUGCCCCGGUAUCGAGGCACGUUCGAGCGAAUCGCGUUGCCGCAAUGCACCUAGCUCGGAUUCGCUCUCACGCGGCGCGCUUACUCGCCUGGAAAAUUAUCCAGUAACCCAGUGACACUGUGAGAAGUGGCGGAACCUUUCGUCAAUCGCUGCAUGUCGAUACGUGACGCCUCCAUUCCUUUCUCGAGAUCAUAGAUUUGAGAGAUUCUUUGUCGAAAGUUCUUCAUCGAAAAUCGUUCCAGCGAUCCAACUCUAUAGAACAGUCAAUGGAAAAGAAUGCCAAGAAAGAGAUUCUUUAUGGUCAUGAUAAAGUUGAUAUU